UACGUAGGGUGCGAGCGUUAAUCGGAAUUACUGGGCGUAAAGCGUGCGCAGGCGGUUUGCUAAGACCGAUGUGAAAUCCCCCGGGCUUAACCUGGGAACUGCAUUGGUGACUGGCAGGCUAGAGUAUGGCAGAGGGGGGGUAGAAUUCCACGUGUAGCAGUGAAAUGCGUAGAGAUGUGGAGGAAUACCGAUGGCGAAGGCAGCCCCCUGGGCCAAUACUGACGCUCAUGCACGAA
rnacentral:rRNA from 1 species